GAAAGGCUAUAAUUACAUAUACAGCGGAUAUAAAAUAUAGAAUUACUAUAUUUUCCGCGAUAAGACCGCUGAUACAGCAGCGGGCCGGAAACCGCGGAGACGCGAGCUAAGAGCUUCGUCUUUCGAGCAGCUUCGCGCUCAAAAUCUAACCGCGUAUGUAAAAACUAUUCACCAACUAGGUGCCUGUCGCCAGGCACUCCUUCCAAACGAAAUAACAAAAAACCGAGUUUACAUAAAAACUCAGGAGUGAACAAAGAAUGAGUUCAAAAGAUCAACAUCAGAGUCGCAUCGCGAAUAAAUUGAGAGUCGCGUUAAGCAAGUAAAAAAGAGAAACGGAGUCACACGAGGUCUAGAAAUAAUUAUACUCAGAGUCUUGAUUGAGUUUAUAUAUCAAUAUAUUGAAUAAAGAAGUAAACUUAAAAUUUAUCGAGACUACAAAUUAUUGGGAAAACUCCGACAGUUCGGAAGUUCUUUUCCUAAUCCGGCCUACAUCCCUAAGUACUUUACCCGAGGUGCAACAAAUUGGUAGCAACGGUAGUAUGCCGGAGAUUGCCGAAGUUUCCUUAUAGAAAGAAGUCCUGUAAAAACACAAAAAAAUAUUUAUAAAAGGUGUUAGACGGGCACGUCAGUAACACUGACGGAAGCAAGCAGAAGCCACGACAAUAACGAGAGAAAGAGAAAACGGACGCAAGCAGUGCAACGAGUGAUAAGUAGUUGAGGGUCAAAAAGGAUCGCCAACAUCCAAGGAUCACAACGCUGAUCUACGACAACCACACGAGCAGCGCAUCAUUACGAGCGAUAACUCGGAGCAGCUGUUAUCAGCUCACGAUCACAAGUGAUCGAGUUGCAGCAGCAGCAGCCGACCCGUAUAGAGCGUAACGAUGCGAGCCGUAAUACUGUAAGUCCGAAUUUUAUUAUUUUCGUGAAUGUCAGAAGGACACGAAACUCCCCAGCAAUCAAUAGCAAAUAAAUCGUGGCUGUUUAGCAACUUAGCCGAGCGGGCAAUAAAGGCAUUGCCACUGUCUUAGAAACCCUCGAAAAGGUACAAAUAAAAUUAGAAGCACAUUAUUCGAGCGAGAGCGACUCAGAAUUAUCUACUCACGUGAUAACCGAACGAGCGAGUUCCCGUUUGAUACUUUCGACGAAAGUCUGUUUGCGGAAAAAGAAACCAAUGCCGAUAUCGAAAAUAAAAAUAAAAUUAAAGUACGCGUAAGCCGAACUCCCAGUAACAUAUUGCAACGUAGAGAGUUUUCAUUAACAUCAUACGACAACAGUAUUUUCGAUUCAAACUAAUGUCAGGCUAACAUGUUGCAGACACCGCCGAACGGUGCCAUGAGUGUGUCCGAGGGUGCCAUCGACCGCGAAAUUAACCGCCUUCACUAUACCAUAAUCCGCGACAAUAAUCGAUUCGUGGAAGUUGAUGCACAUAGACCACUUGCUAAUCGCGAUAUAGAGACCGACCAUCCCCGUGAUAUUAGACGAUACACAGAGGAACGCGUUGUAGAAGCCGAGGUGCACAAAACGCCUAAUCAUUGGGGGUGCGUUUCGUUUCACGCAUGGAAGGCAUGAAUGCCCUACGCAGAGCAUGAAGUGCAAAAUUUGUUCCGUUUCUUUAUACACUUUAUGCAUGAACCAUGCGUCUUCUAGUAACGGAACAGAUUGCAUGCACUUUAUGCAUUAAACAUGGACGUGAUAGACGCUGACACUGAAUCCUGUUUGGUUUCAAUUAUUACUGUUUCAUCUUCUUUUAUGAUAUUAGGAGAUGAAAUAUCAACAAUCGACUCAUGUUUGUCGAGCAUUAGUGAAAGUGAAAAUGAAAAGUGAAAGUGACAGUGAUGAAGAAACAGAUAUGUCCACUAUUUAUGCUAUUAUUAUAGUAGGAAAUACUAUAGGAACAAAUAUUCCUUCCGAAAAAUUAUUUGAUUAUGUACAACGAGUAGACCAGGAUAUUUGCGACAAGAAUACAAGGAAUACCAGGUAAAGUUUAAUAUGAUUGCACAAGAAAUUAUUUAUAUUUUGUAAGUUUAAAUUUGCUUUUCAUUAUUUGAAAAUGCAUUUUCAUCAUUACCGCUUAAAAAAUAUAAAUUUUGUUUAAUUAUAAAAGAAAAUAAAUAGCAAAUAUAGAAAUUAAUUGCAAUUUUUAUAAAAUAGUAAACUUUAAAUUGUCAUGUUUAUUAUUUGCAGGAUGUUUUCUGAAACAUUUGAAAUGAUUAUGCAAUUGAUUGAGCCAGCUUUGGGUCUAACAAAUACAACAGGAAGAAAACAAAUAUCGGCAAAAAAACAACUAUUAAUAACAUUAUAGUUUUUAGCUACUCCAGAUUAGAUAUAGAUCAAUACAUAUCCAAUUUGGUGUUGGAAAAGCAACAGCAUUCAGAGCAGUAAGAAAGGUAACUUAUGCCUUGCAUUGUUUUGCACCAAGAUUUAUUCAGUGGCCAAAAAAUGAAGUGCUACACCGUACUAUUGAAGAAUUUGCGAAAGCAAGGUUUUCCUAAUGUAAUCGGAGCCCUUGAUAGAUCAUAUAUUAGAAUUAGAGCUCCAAAGAAAAAUCCUGCUUCAUACAUAUGCAGGAAACAAUUUCAUAUGAUUCACUUGCAAGCGGUAUGUAAUGCAAAAACAGUUUUUAUUCACUGCUAUGCAGGACAUGUCGGCUCAGUACAUGAUACAAGAGUGUUGAGAAAUUCUGCAUUUGCAGAAUUACAAUACAUUGAAAUGCCAAAUGAAUACUUUCCUUUCGAUAUUCAUUAUAGCAGAUUUUGCAUAUGCAAUCUUUCCGCAUUUAAUGAUUCCAUUUAAAGAUAAUGGUUAUCUCACAGCACUUCAAACAAAUUAUAACUUUUGUUUGUUAUCAACCAGGAUGGCCAUAGAGCGAGCGUUCGGAUUAUUAAGGGUACGGUUCUGUAUUUUGUUAGAUUGCUUACCCCUGACUGAUAUAAAAAAAAUACAAGUUAUAUUAGCUUUUUGCGUUCUCCAUAAUAUUUGCACUCUAAGAAAUGGUGAGUUUUCAGUUGUAGUAUAUUGUCACGUCCUGGGCUUUAAAUUCUGCGCGUUCACGCGCCUUCACGAGUACGCAUAGUGGGGGAAACCUGAGUAAACGGGGCCGAGCGGUAGAACGCGCGUGGUCAGGAGUAGGGGAAGAACGCGCGAGGACAGGAUAACAGAUUGAAUACGGAGAUUGGGAAGUAUUUUAAUAAUUAAAAUGUAUAAUUAGUUAGUACUUACUGCCGUAAUAAUAAAUAUUAUUAACUGAUAAUAAAAGGAUAUUAUAAUAAGGUUUGAUAAUAAUUUAUUUAAUAAAAUUUUUAAGUAUUUCUCAAUAUCAAUCGUUUAAUAAGUAACAAGUCGAGGGUGAUGAUUUCUGGUCUCCUAGGAGGUCUGAUAACUAUUUUGAAUGUUUUACAUAACGUAACGAUUCUCUUGAUCGCAGGAAGAUUUUGCGACAGAGAUUCGUAAAUAAUCUCGGGCUCAGAGUCGUCGACUGUUUCCUUAGUAGUUACUAGUCGUUUGGAGAAAGCACGCUGAAUAGUAGGGGAAUGUGACAUUUGCAAGAGAAGUCGCCCGAUUCUAAAGCACUAGUAAGUUUUCUUAUGAGGCGCGCGCGAUCUGUUCUUCUUCCGCGUCCCAUUUUGCUACUAUACCGGAGAUAAAUAGGAUAGAUAAAGAAAUAAAAUGAAAGUAAAAAGAUAGCAACCCAAUUGGAUUUAAGUUCAGAUGAGUAUAUAUAUAUAUAUAUAUAUAUAUAUAUAUAUAUAUUGUACACGCAGAAGUAUUUAUAUCACAUGCGACACUAUUAGCUUGUGAUUUAUUUCAGGUACAAUAAGUCGUAUAAGGAGACAACUCAAAGGAUGGAGCAGCAAUGAUAGUCCGCGAGUGUCGACUAACACUAACGGAAUCGUCGUGAGAUUAUAACAAAUGAUUAGUGAGAUAGUUAAUUGUUAGUUAAUGAUGUAGUUUAUUAAGAGUUAGUUAUGUGUGUUAAUAUGGAUUAAUAUAUUGUAAAUAUUCAUUAAUAAUUAUAUAUGAAUAGUUGAAUUAUAUUCAAUAUUAUUUGUUAAUAAAUAAUAUGAUCAUUUAUUAGUUGUUAAGUACUUUAUAUCGAACAGUAAUUAAUAUUAAUUAAUUGAUUUAUAUUCUAACUCGUGAAUAAUUAUAAUGUUUACUUGUAAUACUUACAAUGGAGGUCGGCGACUCUCGAAUCAAUGAAGGAUAUGAAAUUUAGUGAUGUUACACCGGUGAAUAAUUAUACAGUAAUAUAUUUUAUAAGUACACUUUUGGAAAUAUAGUACAAGUAUGAUUAUGUAUACGAAUAAUUAUAAGUAUUUAAGAAUAAAAUGCAAAAAUGUAUAAGUAUAAAUAACGCUGACGAAUCGUAUAUAGCGAAAGCUCUGAGAAUAAUAAUCGUAUGCGAACUGAUCUGAUUGACUGACUGAGAGUGUAUCUUUCUGAAUAAUCUACAAUGAGAAUGACUUAAUCUAUUACUUACAAUUCUUGUUCGCUUAGGUACUACCCUUUUAUACAUAUAAAUAUACAUCGGUGUUCUCAUA